AUGGCCAAUGACAGCGGCGGGCCCGGCGGGCUGAGCCAGAGCGAGCGAGACCGGCAGUACUGCGAGCUGUGCGGGAAGAUGGAGAACCUGCUGCGCUGCAGCCGCUGCCGCAGCUCCUUCUACUGCAGCAAGGAGCACCAGCGCCAGGACUGGAAGAAGCACAAGCUCGUGUGCCAGAGCGGCGAGGGCGCCCCCGGCCCCGGCGCGGAGCCGCAUCCGCACCCCGGCCCCGCGCCGGCCGCCGCCGCGCCGCCGCCCAGAGCCGCCGGGACCAGGGCGGGCAGGAAGGCAGCGCCGCGCCGGGACAGCGCCGCCGCCCCCGCCGCCCGGGACGCCGCCAAGGCGAAGGCCAAGCCCGCGGCGGCCGCGUCCCCACCUCGCGCGGCGCCGGGCGGCCCGGCCGCGGCGGCCACUGCCGAAGCGGAGCCCGCGAAGGAGGAGCCGCUGGGCCGCUCGUCGCUGUUCCAGGAGAAGGCGAACCUGUACCCGCCGAGCAACACGCCGGGCGAGGGGCUGAGCCACGGCGGCGGCCUGCGGCCCAACGGGCAGACGAAGCCGCUGCCCGCGCAGAAGCUGGCGCUGGAGUACAUCGUGCCGUGCAUGAACAAGCACGGCAUCUGCGUGGUGGACGACUUCCUGGGCAAGGAGACCGGGCAGCAGAUCGGCGAGGAGGUGCGCGCCCUGCACGACACCGGCAAGUUCACGGACGGCCAGCUGGUCAGCCAGAAGAGCGACUCGUCCAAGGACAUCCGAGGCGAUAAGAUCACCUGGAUCGAGGGCAAGGAGCCCGGCUGCGAAACCAUUGGGCUGCUCAUGAGCAGCAUGGACGACCUGAUCCGCCACUGUAACGGGAAGCUGGGCAACUACAAAAUCAAUGGCCGGACGAAAGCCAUGGUUGCUUGUUAUCCAGGCAAUGGAACGGGAUAUGUGCGUCAUGUUGAUAAUCCAAAUGGAGAUGGAAGAUGUGUGACAUGUAUAUAUUAUCUUAAUAAAGACUGGGAUGCCAAGGUAAGUGGAGGUAUACUUCGAAUUUUUCCAGAAGGCAAAGCCCAGUUUGCUGACAUUGAACCCAAAUUUGAUAGACUGCUGUUUUUCUGGUCUGACCGUCGCAACCCUCACGAAGUACAACCAGCAUAUGCUACAAGGUACGCAAUAACUGUUUGGUAUUUUGAUGCAGAUGAGAGAGCACGAGCUAAAGUAAAAUAUCAAACAGAAAGAAGAUUUGACUGUGUGGCUUUGUACUGCAUGACUGACUCCAAACCUGUGAUUGCUUAUGGAAGAAUAUAAGCUAUCAACUGAGAAUGGUAUUUACAUCUGGACAUGAAAUAAGUGCCCUAGGUAGCAUUGUUUCAUUCUUAUAUUUUGUCAGAUCUGCCAUCUAGCUGAGUUCAGUUCAUCUCUCCCCUUUUUUAUAUAGUCAAGUUUGAAUUUGAAGUAAUUUUUGUAUGAUCAGGUACAAUUUAUCAAAACUGAAUUGAGAAAAAAUUACAGUAUUAUUCCCCAAAAUAGCAUCACUCUAUUUUUGUAAACCUCUUCGUACUAUUAAAUUUUGCCCUAAAAGACCUCUUAUAAUGAUUGUUGCCAGUGACUGAUGAUUACUUUAAUUUUCUUUUUACUUAAAAUAAGGAGCACUUUAAUUACCAGCUGAAAAUCAGAUUGUUUGUAGUCCUGUCUUACACUAAUUUGAAUUCUUAAAAAUUGUUGCUGUUGUUUUUUUGACAUUGUUAAUAAUGAAACUAAACAGUAAAACCAUCACCAUUUACUACCAAUAACUUUUCGUUCUGAAUGUUUUGUUAGAAAAAAUACACCGUAAGAAAAAUAGUUAUAUAGUUUAAGUUAAAUUUUAAAAAAACGACAGUGACUGGCACUAAGUGAACUUGAGGUUAUCUUCAGCAUCAAGUUCCCAGCAUAAGGGCUUUCUUAAGCAUUCAGGUGUAUCCUGUAGUGUAGUGUCCUGUAGUGUAGAAAACAGCCCCCUUCCUAAGACUUUUCCUCUUGCUUCCUGCAGGUUGAUUGCACGUCCAAUUUUGCUAUUAUGUUGUCCUGUUCCUAUGAUCCAUCUGAUCCGCAGAUCAGAACCUUGCUCCCAUUGGUAGCCUCGAGGGGAGACCGCGUGCUUCGCGACUGACCCGAGUUAUCGCAGGCUUCGUGUUCGCGACUCCUCGGAGCACGGCUAGGCGCCCACGCGUGCUGGGCUCUGUCGGCACCGAGAGGGGAGAAAAAGAGGAAAUGUGACAAAAUCACACAAGGCCUCCCAGGCUUGAUUACAUAAGUAUCGAUUGGAACAGGUGUCUUAGACUGCAGUGUCCUAGGCAGAGCACACAGGUAGCAUCCAUACUUUGCAUGCAUUAUGGGUGGAAUGCUCACUUCAGUUUUCUAUCUCUGUCCUUGAUCUUCUUUGCCAAAAUAAUGUGAGUGUACAGAACUAUUUCUGUAUAUUUCAACUUACUACAGUUUUAGCAUUUGUAUAGUUUGUAUUCACUUAGCAACCUUUUCUAUGGAAAGCUCAGUAAUUUUUAUUAAAAGAUUGAUAUUGUUCAUGUAAAACAUGAAAAAAAUGUUUAAUGAAACCGACAGUGUGGACCUAGGGUGGGAUUAAUAUUCAGUACUGUGGUCUCACUUAGGAGAACUUGCAGGACAAAACUGGAGUUUGUGUUGUUUUCCUUGCUCGUGUUCAGUUUUGUGCUACUUCCUCCCCUCGUUCCAGGUCAUGCGGUGUAACGUCCCUGCACUCAGUGCCUCUGCCAGUCUGACCUGGGUGCGAGCUGCCUUGGCCACGGUCUGCAGUGCAGUGCGCUGCGUCAGCCCACUCAAGCACUAUCACUUUUAAGUCUAGUACACAUUGUAUUGUGUUGAUGGGAACUUUGUCCGAUUGUCGAGGUGCACAGCAACAGCCUCUUAGUCUGGGAGCCCCAUGCCCUUCAGUUGUCCAUCUCUGCAGCUCCGCUCUGGGUUGCGCUGCCAGACAGGUCUUACGUUUUGUAUUUUCUUGGUAGAGUGUAUGUAAUCUCUUGGGGAUCAUUGUGAAAGGAUCAAGAAAUCAGGAUAGCCAUUUCUUUAAUAUCCAUUUAAAAUCUGUUCAUGGCAUGUUAGUGGGACCGUUACCAUGUCACCAAGCAGGACUUUUAUUUAAAACAAAAUUUAAAAUUAUUUGUGGCCUAUAUGUGUUUAAUUCUGGUUAAAGAGAAAGCUUCUGAUGCUGUUUUUAUUCAACACAUUAACCAGCUGUAAAACACAGACCUUUAUAAACAGCAGGUAAAGAAUAUCAGGAUUCAUAUACAGACAGACUAUAAAGUCAUGUAAUUUGAAAAGCAGUGUUUCAUUAUGAAAGAGCUCUCAAGUUGCUUGUAAAGCUAAUCUAAUUAAAACGAUGUAUAAAUGUUCUUGGAAAAAUUAUGAUUGUUCUUUCCAUCUGUCUUCUUUUGUUUUUUAAGCCUUUAUCAUAUACUUUCUCAGUGGACCCUCCAUCAGACAAUGUGCUUUUCUGCCCCACCGCUCUGGCUUAGUCCAGAGCAUUUGCUCUUACUGUUUCUAAAUGAUAACGGUGGGGAGAGAACAGCACACGGGGAGUCCAGUGGUGUGAGACACCCUGGGGGUCACUGGACUGCCCAGGGGUCCAUGAGCUUUGUGUUUAGAUUCGCAGCACUUGUCUCUCAGUAGGAUUUUUAAAACAACUCUGACACUCAUGCUUUCGAGCAGCUCUGCUGCAAAAGGACGGCGUUAGACAUUUGUCUCUAGU